rnacentral:lncRNA from 1 species
GAAGAAGAAAUAAUGACCUAUUUCCUCCAGACCUUCCAGUCAAAGCUGGGAACUUCAAAGCCGUGGAGGUAAAGCAAAUCCUCAAAUCUCUGAACAACCACAUGAACGCACUGGCUAGGCUCGUGACCAACGAGGUUGUGGAAGAACUCGACAACCCCCUUUUCCUUUACGGAUCUGGCACCACUCUAUGUAUGAAAUUUUGCUUCAUUCCACUAGGAAGAAUAAGGCAUGCCACC